rnacentral:rRNA from 1 species
AACGUAGGUUCCGAGCGUUAUCCGGAUUUACUGGGCGUAAAGCGCGUUCAGGCGGUUUGGCAAGUCGGGCAUGAAAUCCUUCGGCUCAACCGGGGGAGGUUGUCCGAUACUGCUGAACUGGAGGGCAGUAGAGGGCGGUGGAAUUCCGGGUGUAGUGGUGAAAUGCGUAGAGAUCCGGAGGAACACCAGUGGCGAAAGCGGCCACCUGGACUACACCUGACGCUGAAACGCGAAAGCUAGGGGAGCGAACGGG